GAAUUAGUGAUUCAGUGGUAGAAUUCUCGCCUUUCAUGCAGGAGACUGGGUUCGACUCCCGGCCAAUGCA
rnacentral:tRNA from 1 species